rnacentral:rRNA from 1 species
CCUACGGGGGGCAGCAGUGAGGAAUAUUGGUCAAUGGGGGGAACCCUGAACCAGCAACGCCGCGUGAGGGAAGACGGUUUUCGGAUUGUAAACCUCUGUCCUCUGUGAAGAUAAUGACGGUAGCAGAGGAGGAAGCUCCGGCUAACUACGUGCCAGCAGCCGCGGUAAUACGUAGGGAGCGAGCGUUGUCCGGAUUUACUGGGUGUAAAGGGUGCGUAGUCGGCCCUGCAAGUCAGAAGUGAAAUCCAUGGGCUUAACCCGUGAACUGCAUUUGAAACUGUUAUUCUAGAGUAUGGGAGAGGUAG